UACGUAGGGGGCAAGCGUUGUCCGGAAUCAUUGGGCGUAAAGCGCGUGUAGGCGGCCCGAUAAGUCCGCUGUGAAAGUCCAGGGCUCAACCCUGGAAUGCCGGUGGAUACUGUCGGGCUCGAGUCCGGAAGAGGCGAGUGGAAUUCCUGGUGUAGCGGUGAAAUGCGCAGAUAUCAGGAGGAACACCGAUGGCGAAGGCAGCUCGCUGGGACGGUACUGACGCUGAGACGCGAAAAGCGUGGGGAGCAAACAGG
rnacentral:rRNA from 1 species